rnacentral:lncRNA from 1 species
CUGCUGUCGUCAUCCAUACCAUCCAUGCUGUGGGUGCGGCGUCCAUCAAGGUCGGUGGCAGCGGCGACGGGCAAAAUCCACCGGGCAAAUCCAUCACGGCGUCCGUCGGCCUUGUCUCGCGCAAUCUCGGCGGCCGGCGCAAAGUGUCUGGUAUGGAACAAUGCAACGGCAGGCGUGGGGCAGUCCCUGUCGCUGUCGUCGACAGAACCAACGGCAGGGCGGCGAUCUGUCGGCAGGUCUGUCCAUGCUCUUUCGGCGGACCAACGCGGCACAGGGGGUGCGCGACGACGCGUGCGACGGCGCCGUGCGGGUCGCUCGGUAUCAUCGUCGUCAUCGUCGCUCUUGCCGCCGUCAUCUCUUGUGCUGUCGUCGGUUCUGGACGAGGUUGCGACGUCACGAGAGCGGGGGCGCUUGCGCGACGGUGCACUCGGUUGCGGCACAGUGGUCUCGGUCGCGCUGUCGCCAACGUGAUCAUCAUCGUCAUGAUCGUCGACGCCAUCGUCAUCGGACCCAUGGCUGAUAAUGGUCGGCGCGACGUGAGCGUCCGAGACCGAGUCUUGGUCGACGUCCGCGUCAACGCAGGGAGUCGAUGGUUCCUCCGAGAGCGGGUCCUCUUCACCCAGGCGGUAGGCGACUGGCGAUCCGGGUCCCGACGGCGCGGAAUCACAGAGGUGCGCCUUGUAUCGCACGGCCAACAGAGCCGCCGCCUCGUCGUCGGCGGGAUGCACGAUAUUCGCGACGACGUCGAUGAAUCUAGAGAGACGCGUGGUGUGGAUGCCCGACGUCCUGGUCUGUCGGCCGUGAUCGGAACCGGCCCUAGGUCGACCGGGAAGCAAUACACGGUCGAGUUGGCCCAUGCGUCGGCAGGCGGUGGCCAUCACGCGGCGCGUAACGGUGUGCUCGUCCCUGUCGCGUAGGUGGCUGGCCAUGGCGCGCACAAUGUCAAUGGCCGACAGCCAGUACCCGUCGGGCGACCGCCGUAUCAUACGGAUCGGCUCUCGGGGCAGGCUUGAAUCGGUGCCGCCGCGAUUCAAUUCUGCGCUAUGCACAAUGCAAGUGGGCGACUGGUCAGUGUCGUUGGCCCUGUAGACGGUCGUCGACAUGGGUCGCGUGGUCCGCUCACGACGGCGCGAACAAAGGGGUGUGUGGGAUCGCGCGGUGCGACUGGCCGAACCGCGCACGACAACAGACAGGGGUUUCGUCGAGUCGUGGCGUGCUAGCGCUUCGACCACCUGCAUCCGCACAUCGAAAUGAUAACGCCGAUGAUGAGACGUGGUCAAACAUGGACGGCAAAGACAUGUAUGCAUAUAUACAAAAAAAGGUAUACAAUAAUUUAAAAAAAGGGAAAAAGGCGACGGGGGAACCUUGUCGCCGGCGGCGAGCACGGUGCCAUGUGAAUCGGUGAGAUCGUGGCCGACGAUGGUGGAUGUGGCAGUCGAGGCGAAAUGCAGGGCAGGACGGGCUGGAUACUUUUUCGCGUGGACCAUGGCAAUGCGCUUGUGGAGGAGCGCCACGGUGGCGUCCUUGGGGAGGCCCUUGACCGACACGAGCGCCGGCCGCGCCGCCGUACCGCCUCCGUUGACCUCGACCGUGUAUUCAAGCGUCCCAAAGGCCGGCUUCAUGCUGUCUGUCUGUCUGUCGUCGGGUGUGUCCCUGUAUCUUUUUUUGGGCGGGCGAUCCACGAGUGAUGAGAACAAAAUCGGAUGUUGUCGGUCCCCUCGAUUGGCU